GCCGAUUCCUCUGGAUAAGAAAUAUAGCCACCAUCCCAAGCAGGCUGCCCACAAUAAUUGAACCUAUAGAAUCAUAAAUUGCAUUCCCUGUGGUAUUUACUGCAACCAAAGAUGCAGCAGCAAUAGCAAGUCCAGUUACUGCAGCGCCAUCCUCUGUCAUGACUGCAACAGAUGUGGGAUCAUGACCACGCCAAACAUAGUCUCUCACUUUCAUUCCCUCUGCCGCUGCACCUUUCUUCACAGCUUGUAUGGCAACUAGAAGAGAAGCACCUUCAAUGAUAAAUGAACCACCAAUCACUAGAGCUGCAUAUUGAAUGUUUGCAGGGGGAUGUGAAGUCCACAAGUUCUGAACUCCAUGAACAAUUGUAGCUCCAGAACCAAGACAAAAUAUUCCAACAGCAGAUAUCAAGGACCAAACAAACCUUUCCUUUGAAUAGCCAUAGGGAUGAAGAGCAUCUGGUGCACGCUUUGAGCUACUCAAACCAUAUGCAAGGAGAACCUGGUUUGCAAAAUCUGCAACUGAAUGCACAACUUCAGCCAAC
rnacentral:misc_RNA from 1 species